rnacentral:rRNA from 1 species
UGAGGAAUAUUGGUCAAUGGGCGUAAGCCUGAACCAGCCAUCCCGCGUGCAGGAAGACGGCGCUAUGCGUUGUAAACUGCUUUUCCAGGGGAAGAAAACCUUCGACGUGUCGAAGCUUGCCGGUACCUUGGGAAUAAGCAUCGGCUAACUCCGUGCCAGCAGCCGCGGUAAUACGGAGGAUGCGAGCGUUAUCCGGAUUUAUUGGGUUUAAAGGGUGCGUAGGCGGAUUGAUAAGUCAGCGGUGAAACCCUUCAGCUUAACUGGAGACUUGCCAUUGAUACUGUCAGUCUUGAGUACGGUCAAGGUAGGCGGAAUGUGUAAUGUAGCGGUGAAAUGCUUAGAUAUUACACAGAACACCGAUUGCGAAGGCAGCUUACUGGACCAAUACUGACGCUGAGGCACGAAAGCGUGGGGAGCGAACA